UGUAUUAAAUUUCUGUACGGUUACUGUUCAUAUGACAAAAGGCACACAUAUUUUGAUGCCAUAAUCGGACAUAGACCCUUCCAUAUAUCAACAAGUAUCCGACAUGGACAAACUCUCAUUUGUAAUGCAAAUCUACAUUCUUAUUGUGUAUCCGUAUCACCUAUUUUCAGUUUGCAGCCCUGGGUUGUUUGGUGAAACCUGCAGUAGAAUUUUGUCCACUGCGCUGAAGGAGGCGUGUGACCAUAUGUAAGUGGUUUGUGUCAAGAGACUGUAGACCAGGGUGGCAGGGCAACAGGUGUGAUACAGAAUGUGACGCUAACCACUAUGUAGUCAACUGUGUGAACACGUGUACUGACAGGAAGUGUUCUGAUGUCAUCUCGUCAUGUGAUCGCUACACCGGGUCAUGCGACAGGGGAUGUCUUACUGGUUGGAGAGGUGUGGAUUGUUCACAAGAGUGUACAAAUGGACGCUAUGGACAGAACUGCAUCGACUCUUGUUCUGACAGGAAGUGUGCAGGAGACUC